rnacentral:rRNA from 1 species
UACGUAGGUGGCAAGCGUUAUCCGGAAUUAUUGGGCGUAAAGCGCGCGCAGGCGGUUUCUUAAGUCUGAUGUGAAAGCCCACGGCUCAACCGUGGAGGGUCAUUGGAAACUGGGGAACUUGAGUGCAGAAGAGAAAAGCGGAAUUCCACGUGUAGCGGUGAAAUGCGUAGAGAUGUGGAGGAACACCAGUGGCGAAGGCGGCCGGCUGGGGGUGACCUGACGCUGGAGGCGCGAAAGCGUGGGGAGCGAACCGG